GUUAAACUUCAAAAACAAAAGAGCUUUUUUAAUCAAUUUUUUCCAAUAGAUGUCAGGUAAAUAUUGUUCAAUUAAUUCAAAUUCAAUAUGUACAAAAGUUUUGUCCGUCUCGACUACGUGUUAAAAAAAACAACUGACAAAGGGCCCCUGAUGAGUAAAUCCGACACAAACUGUUAGAAGAUGUGGAUGAGUAAUUUGGAAUGAAAAGGAAAAACGGAUUUUAAAAGCAGCAGAUGAGGUUUACGAAGUACAAAAAAAAAUAUAUCCAUACCAUGGGUCGUUCAAUGUUAGAGCUUUGCAGAAAUCUUAGACUAAGUGUGGAGUUUAGGAUACAUUGUUGCAGGGGCAGCGCCAAAACAAAAGAGUACCCGUAGAAAGGACAUUAGCUUGGAGGAUUUUACUAACCGCUCAAGGAAGACAUUCUUAUUUCCGGAAAAUGUUCAGGUUAGCACGUUUUGUGCGGAUUUUUUCUAGGAGUAUUAUAUUUGUGGAAGUAGUUUCUUGAAAUAUUUAUUUAUUUAUACUUAUGUAUAUAUCAUUAAAUAUGUAUAAAAAAUA